GCUACUGAGUUUCUCAGUUCCCUUGUGCAUGGGUGUUUCUGCCUGUCUGUCUGGUGGUUUUCUGAUAAGAAAGACUGGUGUCAUUUCGGUAGUGGCUCUUCUUCUUGCGAAGCUGCCAUCGGCCACAGCCAUCCCCUGGGCAUUGCCCCGCAUCCUCCCCUCCAGAUGUCCAACCUGCCUGAGGAAAGCGCGCAAGCUCUUCAGCACUUGCCUUUGACAGCGGGGUUUCACAUUUCUGAGCUGGAUUACUAAAAUACGCUUCACUGGGGCUUCUCGCAAGCACACCUCAGAAGAUUCGGUUAGAGCAGAUUGGAACCGUUUACUUGGCUUUUAAUGCUAACCUCACUGAGCUUAGUAAAACUGCUCUGCAUGGA